rnacentral:rRNA from 1 species
GACGGAGGAUGCAAGCGUUAUCCGGAAUGAUUGGGCGUAAAGCGUCCGCAGGUGGCAGUUCAAGUCUGCUGUCAAAGACCGGGGCUUAACUUCGGAAAGGCAGUGGAAACUGAACAGCUAGAGUAUGGUAGGGGCAGAGGGAAUUCCUGGUGUAGCGGUGAAAUGCGUAGAGAUCAGGAAGAACAUCGGUGGCGAAGGCGGCAUCCUGGACCGACACUGACACUGAGGAGCGAAAGCCAGGGGAGCAAACGGG